rnacentral:tRNA from 1 species
UCUUCUGUAGCUCAGUGGCAGAGCGUCCGACUGGUGUGCGGAAGGUCAUACAAUGUAGGUUCAACUCCUGUUGGGAGAA